GCCCCUGUAGCUCAGUGGAUAGAGCGACCGCCUCCUAAGCGGUAGGUCGCAGGUUCGAUUCCUGCCAGGGGCA
rnacentral:tRNA from 1 species